GGGAUGCAACUACUUAGCCUUUCAUUCGAGGGUAGCUAUAGGAGUAGAUAUAGGAGCCUUUCAUUUGGGAGUAGAUAUAGGAGCAGUUAUAGCUGGGGUUAUUUCUGGGAAUUAAAGAUUGAAAUUCUUGCUCCAAACCUCACUUCUUUUAGACAUGAUUGGAUGAAGCCUAUGGAUUUCGGUGAAAUCAACCUUCCUUCUGUUAAUUUUGUGGAUAUUAGUGUUGAUCGAGUUUGUUACCGGCAGUACGAAGAGGAAAAUGACAACAUGAAUUUGAUCAAUAUGUUCCGAGGAUUACAUAAAGCGCAAUAUGUCAAACUGCACUAUCAUACCAUUGAGGUCCUUACUUUGGUUCCAGGUCUACUAGAAAAGCAACCUUCUCCCUUUACUAAUAUGAAGUCCUUGAAAUUGUACUUGCCCUACAAUACUAAAUCAUCAAAGGUACCUUCUCAUGUAAUGCGCUACUUACUUGGUGACUCGUCUGGUGCUGAUCUUAUAAUCGUC
rnacentral:misc_RNA from 1 species